rnacentral:rRNA from 1 species
AAAUUGAAGAGUUUGAUCAUGGCUCAGAUUGAACGCUGGCGGCAGGCCUAACACAUGCAAGUCGAGCGGUAGCACAGAGAGCUUGCUCUCGGGUGACGAGCGGCGGACGGGUGAGUAAUGUCUGGGAAACUGCCUGAUGGAGGGGGAUAACUACUGGAAACGGUAGCUAAUACCGCAUAANGUCGCAAGACCAAAGUGGGGGACCUUCGGGCCUCAUGCCAUCAGAUGUGCCCAGAUGGGAUUAGCUAGUAGGUGGGGUAANGGCUCACCUAGGCGACGAUCCCUAGCUGGUCUGAGAGGAUGACCAGCCACACUGGAACUGAGACACGGUCCAGACUCCUACGGGAGGCAGCAGUGGGGAAUAUUGCACAAUGGGCGCAAGCCUGAUGCAGCCAUGCCGCGUGUGUGAAGAAGGCCUUCGGGUUGUAAAGCACUUUCAGCGGGGAGGAAGGCGNUNAGGUUAAUAACCUNNNCGAUUGACGUUACCCGCAGAAGAAGCACCGGCUAACUCCGUGCCAGCAGCCGCGGUAAUACGGAGGGUGCAAGCGUUAAUCGGAAUUACUGGGCGUAAAGCGCACGCAGGCGGUCUGUCAAGUCGGAUGUGAAAUCCCCGGGCUNAACCUGGGAACUGCAUUCGAAACUGGCAGGCUAGAGUCUUGUAGAGGGGGGUAGAAUUCCAGGUGUAGCGGUGAAAUGCGUAGAGAUCUGGAGGAAUACCGGUGGCGAAGGCGGCCCCCUGGACAAAGACUGACGCUCAGGUGCGAAAGCGUGGGGAGCAAACAGGAUUAGAUACCCUGGUAGUCCACGCCGUAAACGAUGUCGAUUUGGAGGUUGUGCCCUUGAGGCGUGGCUUCCGGAGCUAACGCGUUAAAUCGACCGCCUGGGGAGUACGGCCGCAAGGUUAAAACUCAAAUGAAUUGACGGGGGCCCGCACAAGCGGUGGAGCAUGUGGUUUAAUUCGAUGCAACGCGAAGAACCUUACCUGGUCUUGACAUCCACAGAACUUNNCAGAGAUGNNUUGGUGCCUUCGGGAACUGUGAGACAGGUGCUGCAUGGCUGUCGUCAGCUCGUGUUGUGAAAUGUUGGGUUAAGUCCCGCAACGAGCGCAACCCUUAUCCUUUGUUGCCAGCGGUNNGGCCGGGAACUCAAAGGAGACUGCCAGUGAUAAACUGGAGGAAGGUGGGGAUGACGUCAAGUCAUCAUGGCCCUUACGACCAGGGCUACACACGUGCUACAAUGGCAUAUACAAAGAGAAGCGACCUCGCGAGAGCAAGCGGACCUCAUAAAGUAUGUCGUAGUCCGGAUUGGAGUCUGCAACUCGACUCCAUGAAGUCGGAAUCGCUAGUAAUCGUAGAUCAGAAUGCUACGGUGAAUACGUUCCCGGGCCUUGUACACACCGCCCGUCACACCAUGGGAGUGGGUUGCAAAAGAAGUAGGUAGCUUAACCUUCGGGAGGGCGCUUACCACUUUGUGAUUCAUGACUGGGGUGAAGUCGUAACAAGGUAACCGUAGGGGAACCUGCGGUUGGAUCACCUCCUUACCUUAAAGAA